rnacentral:rRNA from 1 species
UACGUAGGGUGCGAGCGUUAAUCGGAAUUACUGGGCGUAAAGCGUGCGCAGGCGGUUUUGUAAGUCAGAUGUGAAAUCCCCGGGCUUAACCUGGGAACUGCGUUUGAAACUACAAGGCUAGAGUGUAGCAGAGGGGGGUGGAAUUCCACGUGUAGCAGUGAAAUGCGUAGAGAUGUGGAGGAACACCGGUGGCGAAGGCGCCGCUCUGGACUGAAACUGACGCUGAGGAGCGAAAGCAUGGGUAGCAAACAGG